rnacentral:rRNA from 1 species
AGCGAACGCUGGCGGCAGGCCUAACACACGCAAGUCGAACGAACUCUUCGGAGUUAGUGGCGGACGGGUGAGUAACACGUGGGAACGUGCCUUUAGGUUCGGAAUAACUCAGGGAAACUUGUGCUAAUACCGAAUGUGCCCUUCGGGGGAAGGAUUUAUCGCCUUUAGAGCGGCCCGCGUCUGAUUAGCUUGUUGGUGGGGUAAUGGCCCACCAAGGCGACGAUCAGUAGCUGGUCUGAGAGGAUGACCAGCCACAUUGGGACUGAGACACGGCCCAAACUCCUACGGGAGGCAGCAGUGGGGAAUCUUGCGCAAUGGGCGAAAGCCUGACGCAGCCAUACCGCGUGGAUGAUGAAGGUCUUAGGAUUGUAAAAUCCUUUCACCGGUGAAGAUAAUGACUGUAGCCGGAGAAGAAGCCCCGGCUAACUUCGUGCCAGCCGCCGCGGUAA